AUGCUUGCACUUUCCAUAUGGAGCUAGGAGCGUUUGCCGGUUGGACGAUCGAAGACCGUGAAGUACGAGGAUUGGGACGACAAAGACGACCCACUAUGGGUCCCCACUUGGGCUUACAAGUGGGAUGCGUUAAAUGAGACGACGGAUGAUCCCUCGGUCAUGUACAAGUUGUACAAGAGCAAGCUGGACAUGAUCACGGCUGAGCAGGUGACUCGACAUUGCAUAAGUGAUUCUCAUGCUUCUAUCGUAACUCGAAAUCAAUUUUGCAUUCUAUGCUGUUUUACAGGUGGAAUGGGAGCUGUAUGGAAGAGGGGAUAG
rnacentral:rRNA from 1 species